rnacentral:rRNA from 1 species
CCUACGGGUGGCUGCAGUGAGGAAUAUUGGUCAAUGGCCGGAAGGCUGAACCAGCCAAGCCGCGUGCGGGAGGAAGGCGCAGUGCGUCGCAGACCGCUUUUGCCGGGGGACAAAAGGCCGGACUCGUACGGUCCUGAGAGUACCCGGAGAAAAAGCAUCGGCUAACUCCGUGCCAGCAGCCGCGGUAAUACGGAGGAUGCGAGCGUUAUCCGGAUUCAUUGGGUUUAAAGGGUGCGCAGGCGGGCCUUUAAGCCGGCGGUGAAAUCCCGGGGCUCAACCCCGCCGUGCCUUCGGAACUGGGGGCCUUGAGUGCGGCGGCGGCAUGCGGAAUGCGCGGUGUAGCGGUGAAAUGCAUAGAGAGCGUGCAGAACCCCGAUUGCGAAGGCAGCGUGCCGUGCCGCCACUGACGCUGAGGCACGAAAGCGCGGGGAUCGAACAGGAUUAGAUACCCUAGUAGUC